rnacentral:rRNA from 1 species
UACGGAGGAUCCGAGCGUUAUCCGGAAUUAUUGGGUUUAAAGGGUGCGUAGGCGGCCAUUUAAGUCAGCGGUGAAAUUUUGCAGCUUAACUGUAACAGUGCCGUUGAUACUGUUUGGCUAGGAUUUGGUUGUAGUGUGCGGAAUGUGUGGUGUAGCGGUGAAAUGCUUAGAUAUCGCACAGAACACCGAUUGCGAAGGCAGCACACUAAGUCAUUAUUGACGCUGAGGCACGAAAGUGUGGGGAUCAAACAGGAUUAGA